UUUCCGUUAGGGGGGCCUGCGGAGGGAUCAUUACCGAGUUUACAACUCCCAAACCCAAUGUGAACGUUACCAAACUGUUGCCUCGGCGGGAUCUCUGCCCCGGGUGCGUCGCAGCCCCGGACCAAGGCGCCCGCCGGAGGACCAACCAAAACUCUUAUUGUAUACCCCCUCGCGGGUUUUUUUAUAAUCUGAGCCUUCUCGGCGCCUCUCGUAGGCGUUUCGAAAAUGAAUCAAAACUUUCAACAACGGAUCUCUUGGUUCUGGCAUCGAUGAAGAACGCAGCGAAAUGCGAUAAGUAAUGUGAAUUGCAGAAUUCAGUGAAUCAUCGAAUCUUUGAACGCACAUUGCGCCCGCCAGUAUUCUGGCGGGCAUGCCUGUCCGAGCGUCAUUUCAACCCUCGAACCCCUCCGGGGGGUCGGCGUUGGGGAUCGGCCCUGCCUUGGCGGUGGCCGUCUCCGAAAUACAGUGGCGGUCUCGCCGCAGCCUCUCCUGCGCAGUAGUUUGCACACUCGCAUCGGGAGCGCGGCGCGUCCACAGCCGUUAAACACCCAACUUCUGAAAUGUGACCUCGGAUCAUGUAGAUUGCUAAGUCG
rnacentral:rRNA from 1 species